CCAGAGAACUUAGCAGAGAUGCUUUGGUGCCUUCGGGAACUCUGAGACAGGUGCUGCAUGGCUGUCGUCAGCUCGUGUUGUGAAAUGUUGGGUUAAGUCCCGCAACGAGCGCAACCCUUAUCCUUUGUUGCCAGCGGCUCGGCCGGGAACUCAAAGGAGACUGCCGGUGAUAAACCGGAGGAAGGUGGGAUGACGUCAAGUCAUCAUGGCCCUUACGGCCAGGGCUACACACGUGCUACAAUGGCGCAUACAAAGAGAAGCGACCUCGCGAGAGCAAGCGGACCUCAUAAAGUGCGUCGUAGUCCGGAUUGGAGUCUGCAACUCGACUCCAUGAAGUCGGAAUCGCUAGUAAUCGUAGAUCAGAAUGCUACGGUGAAUACGUUCCCGGGCCUUGUACACACCGCCCGUCACACCAUGGGAGUGGGUUGCAAAAGAAGUAGGUAGCUUAACCUUCGGGAGGGCGCUUACCACUUUGUGAUUCAUGACUGGGGUGAAGUCGUAACAAGGUAGGCGUAGCGAG
rnacentral:rRNA from 1 species